UCCUACUGCCUUGGACUAGAGUUUAAGAAUCAGAUGGGUCCGAUCUCAGAAGCUAAGCAGGGUCGGGCCUCGUUAGUACUUGGAUGGGAGACCACCUAGGAAGACCAGGUGCUGUAGGGG
rnacentral:rRNA from 1 species